UAACACCUGGAAACAGAUGCUAAUACCGGAUAACAANAGAUGAUGCCUAUCAACUGUUUAAAAGAUGGUUCUGCUAUCACUCUUGGAUGGACCUGCGGUGCAUUAGCUAGUUGGUAGGGUAACGGCCUACCAAGGCGAUGAUGCAUAGCCGAGUUGAGAGACUGAUCGGCCACAUUGGGACUGAGACACGGCCCAAACUCCUACGGGAGGCAGCAGC
rnacentral:rRNA from 1 species